rnacentral:rRNA from 1 species
CGGGUGGUAAUGCCGGAUGCUCCGACUCCUCGCAUGGGGUGUCGGGAAAGAUUUCAUCGGUAUGGGAUGGGGUCGCGUCCUAUCAGGUAGUCGGCGGGGUAACGGCCCACCGAGCCUACGACGGGUAGCCGGCCUGAGAGGGCGACCGGCCACAUUGGGACUGAGAUACGGCCCAGACUCCUACGGGAGGCAGCAGUGGGGAAUAUUGCACAAUGGGCGCAAGCCUGAUGCAGCGACGCCGCGUGCGGGAUGACGGCCUUCGGGUUGUAAACCGCUUUUGAUCGGGAGCAAGCCUUCGGGUGAGUGUACCUUUCGAAUAAGCACCGGCUAACUACGUGCCAGCAGCCGCGGUAAUACGUAGGGUGCAAGCGUUAUCCGGAAUUAUUGGGCGUAAAGGGCUCGUAGGCGGUUCGUCGCGUCCGGUGUGAAAGUCCAUCGCUUAACGGUGGAUCUGCGCCGGGUACGGGCGGGCUGGAGUGCGGUAGGGGAGACUGGAAUUCCCGGUGUAACGGUGGAAUGUGUAGAUAUCGGAAAAAAACACCA